CUGUCUUCCUUCCCCUUCUCUUCCUUCCUCCCGGCUGCGUCUCCUUGGCUCCACCCCUCCUCCUCAUCAAUUCCUCCCACACUUCCCUGCUCUCCCUGGCUUUUCACUGGAGGGUCCCUUCUCCCAGCGAGGAGCAGAUGCUGAGCCCCAUUGUCUCUCCCCCAGUGACUGCAGCCUCCGGGGGACAGGACCUGCCACUCUUCACCCCUCCCCCUCAGCCCGCAGACCUACUCCUUUAGAGACUGAAUCCCCAAGGCCACUGCCCCUCACCCCACCCUAAACCAGCUCCUGGUGUUGUGAGCAAUGACUCCAGUCACUCAGAACAUGAUUUGUUUCUGUCUGGGAGUGAGAAAACAGUAGCCUGAGACUGCUUUAGCAAGGAGGACACCAUGGUUUUCAUAUCAGGGUAGUGAGCCCUGGAUGACCCCAGAGCAUUCCCCCACGGUGCCCUCUUAUUGGGAAAGAAGCCACAUUCCUGUCAUUUUAUAUCCUGCUUGAUGCACCUAAGCUGUAUCUUCUAGAUAAAGCAAAACAGCUCUAAGAGUCAAGCAUUCAUGUAACAACAAAUACCUACUGAGUUCUGCUCUGUGCCCGCUCCUGUUCUGGGUGCUAAGGACCUUCAGCACACACAAUCCUCACUCAGGCUUUGCAGAUUGGCAGGGGGAAAAGCAAGAAGACAGACAACCAAAUGCCACUUGUUCCAUGUAAGGAUGAACCAAGGAAGCACCUAAGAGGUUGCUUGGACUAGGGUGGUCAGGGAUGGCUUCCUGGAGGAGGUUACAUCUAGAUGAAUAGGGCUAUGCCAGGCAAAUGCAUAGGAAGGUACAGCCUGUCCAAAGGCCCUAGGGCAAGAUAGCAUAUUCUUAGAGAUUCUUAAAACUACCACAAGUAUUUGCUGCAAUGGACAGUACAAGUGGGGGAGUGGGGACAGCAGUGUCAGGGCACAACUCAGGGAGGGGAGAGUGGCGGGUGUGUCAGGGCAUAAGUUGGGGAGGGGGCCGGGUACCAGGGAGAUGUUCAAAUUUUAGCUUCUUCCACUUGCUAACUUCGUGAAACUGGGGUGAUUAACAGCCUCAGUGGAUGACUUAGACUCCAUUUCUUUACUUAUAAAAAGGGUAAGAAGACUUGUGGGUGCAGAGACGUCUUUUUAUGUUUAAGGGUCCAGGCUUACUUGCUGCAUAUUGGCAAGUUGACUUCUCUAAAUUUAAGUUUUCUCAUCUGUGAAAUAGGGAUGAAAACACUUGACUCACAGGGUUUCUGAGAGGUUUAAAUGGUCCCAUUCCCAGCUCAAUGUCUGGGACAUAAGCUCCAAUACAUGGGAGCUUUUAUUCAUUGUUAUAAAUCAGGGAGUGCCAGGGAGGUGCCCAUACAACCUGGAAAUGAGAUUUAUGUUCUGAGUUAAAAGUAGAGUGACUCAUCAUGUCAGAAACGCAAUGAGCUGGCUGUGGAGGAUACAUUCCUUCAAAGAUGCCCUGUGUCCCCGUGGGUGGCUGGGGUUGGGGAACACCUAUGUCUGAUCUAGGUGGUCAGGGUAUUGUCUCCGAAACAGGACCAGAAUGUGAAGACUGUGGUUACUAAGGCCUGGCCUGAUCAUUGGAAGUGUAGCCUGACCGAAGAACAAAUAAGAGAAGAGAGUGGGCCUCGUAAAAUCCUGGAGGGCCCCUAGGAGCAGGCGCCUGGCUGUAUUUGCUCAGUGAAGAGAACUAGACACAGAAGUUCACACUGGUGAGGCAAGGGGGAGGAAGACUUUUGACUCCUCCAGAACCUGAAUUAAAUCUCUCAAAACCUCUUUAGUCCUUUGCUUGGGUUCCUUGUUCUCCAAGCAGUUUGCAGAUGAACUUGGCACCAGCAAAAUGCCCCCCUGGAUCCAGGCAGACUCCAGGGUUCUUGUUCCUGCAUUGUAAACCUUUUACACUUCUUUUAUUUCUUUAUGACACAAGUUCAUUCUGAGAGAAUUUGAUAACUAGCUAAGCAAAACUGAAAAAGAACCCCUGUAGAGACAUGUGUUGGUGUAUAUCCUUGGACAUUUUAUGUCCACAUACCUAAACAUAAAUGCACAUAGUAAUAAAACUAUACAAAGUAAAUAUUGUUAAACAAGUGAAUGACUAUACGUGUAGAUACAUUAUUUUUACAAAAUUAAACAAGAAUGGUAUAUUCCUACCAAACUGCAACCACUUUUACCUGGUAAUGGUGUCACAAAUCUUUUUCCCUGUCUGUAGACAUCCACAUUAUCAUUCUUAAUGAACGAUAUUAUUCCGUGCCCUUCUCUUACUGGUUAAACAAAUUGCUGGACUUGUGGGAUAUUUCCAGUUUUUCACUUUUGUGGACCUGCUAUGAUAAACACACUGCACAGUCACCUUUGUGCCAGGUAAAUGUUAUAUUCUGAUCAUCAUUUUACAGCUGGGGAGACCAAGGCACAGAAAAAUUUAAAACCUUUCCAAGGUCACAUGUAUGGAGUGACUGAGCCAGAAUUUGCAGCCCGAGUUUCCAGUUGAGAGCAUCUCUGUUUUCUCCUUUAGAGUGACAGUCCCCUCCUGGUACGUCCCCAUUACCUUUUUCUCUUCCAGAUCACCUCCCUGUGAGAACCUGUCUGGGCAGGUGACCCACUUCAUUCUCUGACAUGGGUAACUUAAACAAUGUCCAUCUCCUGGGGUUGCUGGGAGGAAUGUAAACAGGUAACGUAUGACGUGUAGUGAAUGAUACUGUAUUUGGUAAACUGUGACGACUGUACGAGUGUUUGGAAGUACUAGCAAGGGCCUAAGUGCACAGUCAGACGCCACCACCUUUUAGCCAAAUCCCCUGACCUCCUCAAACCCAAGAAGGAAGCCUCCAGAUUCACAACAGAGAGAAAGAAAUCAGCUGUUCUGAUGCAGGAGUGAACAGAUGCCUCCCCUGAGCAUUUCAGGAGCCCCACAGUUGUUCCCCCUGACCCCCUCUCCCCCUAGCUGGAACAGGAGAGAAGAUUUGUUAGUAUAAAGUUUAUCAAUCCUCCCAAUCCUGAGAGAGGAUACAUUCGUGUCACAGACCUUCCAGAACGUUCAUAUCCAUCUCUCUAAAAAUCAGGACUCUUUAAGCCCAGUAAAGGUAUGAAACAGCUCUUCAGUGUUUCACUUGAUGUGUUCACCAGAGUAACUGCUGGGAGAUUAGUGGGUGAUGAUUAAAGUCUGUUUCUUUCAUUGGCAGAAACAUACAAACAUGAAAAAUAUAUAUCAGUGGAUAUAUAUUGCAAUGUCUAAUAUUCGAUUUUGACUAUCAGACCUCCCCACCGAAAUCCAGCCAGUGCAAGGCGCAGGACCCCAGGGUGGAACUGAACGGGGCCGCAGAGAGCAGAGAUGGACCUAGGGCUCCUGAAAGGAUGGGUCUGUGGGAGAUGGAAGGGGACCUGGAACUGGAGAGUCACUGAAAACUAAGUCAAUGGCUGGAGUCCGACAGAAGAUGCGUUGGGCAGCAACUCAAAAUUGUCAAGAAAUAUAGUAACAAUUUUGGAAUAUUCAGUUUGCAGGAAAACUCAAAGCAAAAGUCUGCGUGGAUAGAUAGGGUGAACAUCUGACAUUUCUGCACUAUUUCUUAAGGAAUAAUGUCAGGGUGCACCUCCUCUGAUGCCGCUUAUGUCCAAGGGUGCAUGUUUGUAUAAAGAUGGCUUUAUUCCUAUCAUGGUUUGGACCAAUAUGCUAACUUGCCUUAUUUGCAUAAAUAUAAGAAUAAAAAUAUGCUAAAAGAAACAUGGGCCACCUACCAUAAGCAGGAAACUGCUAGCUUCACUAAAGAGUUGAAAACAAAUAAACACAUAAAAGCCACAAUGAUGACAAAUACUGCUGUGAGAGAGUUAAUUGGUCAAAGCCUGGAAAAUAAUUUGAUAUUUUAAGUCAAGGGAAGUUUAAAAGUUUGUGUCUUUUGAUUAGCAAACUUUAGUUCUAGAAGUCUAUUUGAGGGAGAGUCAUCAUUGUGGAGAAAGAUGUGAGUUAAGGAUGUUUAUCGAAUUGUUAUUUAUGUUGGCAAAAAACUACAACCAAAAAAAAAAAAAAAAGGAAAUAACUGAAGUAUUCAACAAUGAGAAAAUGUUUAAAGAAGUUAUGGCAUGCACAUUUACUGUUACACUGUACAGCUAUUAAAAACUAUGUUUUUGAAGAAUAUGUAAUGACCUGGAAAAUGUGAUAUAGUAAGCGAGAUAUAAAAUGGCAUAUGCAAUUAUAUUUUUGCCCAAUUUCGUAUAUACAUAUAUUUAUCCUGAAAAAUAGAUAUAAAGUACUGGGAAGGAAAUACAAACAAGUUAAAAAGUUGUUUGUGUUUGUUGGAAUUAUAUUUGCCAAAUUUCUAUAAUGAUUAUAGAAUUUUUAAACAAUAACCUAUAUAUUUAGAGAACAAGACCUGGGCUUCUCACUCACUCCACAGUCAACGGUGAAAAGACCCAGGGCCAGACCUUCAAGGAGCUUCCAGUCUGCAGGAGAAAAAGCCAAGCAAACAGGAAGUUACACUACCUAAUGCAGUUAUUUCUCCUCCCCUGGAAAUGUCUGAAGACCUAGGAGGAAAGAGGAACUAGCGUUUUGGUUGCUGAUGAUUUGGGCUCUGAGUUGAAUAGACUAUCUAUUGUGAAAGUGUAUUGUGCAAAAAAGAGAAUGGGGCUUUUUGUGAAGGGAGAUAAAGAGGGUGUGGGGUGGGAACUGGGAGGAUGGGGGAGGAGGAGGCAGGCCUGGAAGCAGUGGGUGGACUGUGGGCAGAGCUGCCUUGAAGGUCCCCCCAAGUUGUCCUCCACAGCUUGCACCUGGGUCGCAGUGUCCAGGGCUAGCGGAGUACCUGGCUCUGCAUUCAUAACAGGGGCUCAGUAAAUGUUCAGUCAGUGUUUAUUGUCCAUAAGAACAGAGGAAUGAAUAAGUGUGUAACAUCAGGGAUCACUCUCAUGAAUUUCCUUUAAGGCAUUAAUUAAACAUGUCUGAAAAAGAAAGACUCCAUUGUGAAACCAUGAUGAUGAGCAAGACAGGAGGGGAAUUUGAAGUCUUCUCUACCGAGACAGCAAGAAUCAGAAGGAGAAAAUCUAAACCACCUCCUUCAGCUUCUCAGAAGCACCCCGGACAGAGCGCCUACCCUUGACCAGCUUUCGGAGGCUGCACUUUUUCUCGGCAGGACUUCACACCAUCUGAUCUGACAUAUGCCUAAUUGCUUACUUGUUUCCCGUCUUCUCUCCCCACUGGAGUCAGCUUCCUGCGAAGAGAGAACUUUGUUUUGUUUUCUUAAUUAAACUUUUUUAUUUUGAGAUAA